CCUACGGGAGGCAGCAGUGGGGAAUUUUCCGCAAUGGGCGAAAGCCUGACGGAGCAACGCCGCGUGAGGGAUGAAGGCCUCUGGGCUGUAAACCUCUUUUAUCAAGGAAGAAGAUCUGACGGUACUUGAUGAAUAAGCCACGGCUAAUUCCGUGCCAGCAGCCGCGGUAA
rnacentral:rRNA from 1 species